rnacentral:rRNA from 1 species
GAUGAACGCUGACAGAAUGCUUAACACAUGCAAGUCUUUGGCGAAGCUGUGCUUGCACAGCCUAGCCAAGGCGGACGGGUGAGUAACGCGUAAGGAACUUGCCCUGCAGUCAGGGAUAACAGACGGAAACGACUGAUAAGACCUGGUAAAGUCAGGCGGACUCAUGUCCAGCCUGAUGAAAAGAGAUGCUGCAGGAGAGCCUUGCGUCCUAUUAGCUUGUUGGUGGGGUAACGGCCCACCAAGGCGAUGAUAGGUAGCCGGCCUGAGAGGGUGGACGGCCACAGGGGGGAUGAGAGCCGCCCGUUACCCCCCCGGGGGGCAGCGGGGGAGAAUAUUGAACAAUGGGGGCAACCCUGAUCCAGCAUUUCUGUGGGCAGAAUGAAGGUUUUGGAUUUGAAAAGUGUUUCCAGCAGGAAAAAAAAAAGGACGGUACCUGAAGAAGAAGCGACGGCUAAAUCCGUG